rnacentral:rRNA from 1 species
GAUGAACGCUGGCGGCGUGCCUAAUACAUGCAAGUCGAGCGAAUGGAUUAAGAGCUUGCUCUUAUGAAGUUAGCGGCGGACGGGUGAGUAACACGUGGGUAACCUGCCCAUAAGACUGGGAUAACUCCGGGAAACCGGGGCUAAUACCGGAUAACAUUUUGAACCGCAUGGUUAGGACGUGAAAGGCGGCCUCGGGUGUCACGUAUGGAUGGAACCGCGUCGCAUUAGCUAGUUGGUGAGGUAAGGGCUCACCAAGGCAACGAUGCGUAGCCGACCUGAGAGGGUGAUCGGCCACACUGGGACUGAGACACGGCCCAGACUCCUACGGGAGGCAGCAGUAGGGAAUCUUCCGCAAUGGACGAAAGUCUGACGGAGCAACGCCGCGUGAGUGAUGAAGGCUUUCGGGUCGUAAAACUCUGUUGUUAGGGAAGAACAAGUGCUAGUUGAAUAAGCUGGCACCUUGACGGUACCUAACCAGAAAGCCACGGCUAACUACGUGCCAGCCGCCGCCGUAA